CAGCAGCCACGGUAAUACGUAGGUCCCGAGCGUUGUCCGGAUUUAUUGGGCGUAAAGCGAGCGCAGGCGGUUAGAUAAGUCUGAAGUUAAAGGCUGUGGCUUAACCAUAGUACGCUUUGGAAACUGUUUAACUUGAGUGCAAGAGGGGAGAGUGGAAUUCCAUGUGUAGCGGUGAAAUGCGUAGAUAUAUGGAGGAACACCGGUGGCGAAAGCGGCUCUCUGGUCUGUAACUGACGCUGAGGCUCGAAAGCGUGGGGAGCAAACAGGAUUAGAUACCCGAGUAGUCCCUGUCUCUUAUACU
rnacentral:rRNA from 1 species